UGCCCAGCAACUCCUAUCCCUACCUCCACGCGGUACCGGCCGGAAACUAUGAGCAACCUUAGGGAAGAUCGGGUAACUAACCCCGUAGGUCGUAGGCCGACAGGGAAGG
rnacentral:ribozyme from 1 species